CCCUUAGACGUUCUGGGCCGCACGCGCGCUACACUGACGAAGGCAACGAGCUUUCCUUUACCGAAAGGUACGGGUAAUCUUUUGAAACUUCGUCGUGCUGGGGAUAGAUCCUUGCAAUUUUUGAUCUUAAACGAGGAAUGCCUAGUAAGCGCAAGUCAUCAACUUGCGUUGAUUACGUCCCUGCCCUUUGUACACACCGCCCGUCGCCACUACCGAUUGAAUGGUUUAGUGAGGCCUUCGGAUCCGCGACUCGUUUGUGGAGAAGUUGGACAAACUCAGUCAUUUAGAGGAAGUAAAAGUCGUAACA
rnacentral:rRNA from 1 species